GAUGAACGCUGGCGGCGUGCCUAAUACAUGCAAGUCGAGCGAACAGAUGGGGAGCUUGCUCCUCUGACGUUAGCGGCGGACGGGUGAGUAACACGUGGAUAACCUACCUAUAAGACUGGGAUAACUUCGGGAAAUCGGAGCUAAUACCGGAUAAUAUAUUGAACCGCAUGGUUCAAUAGUGAAAGACGGUUUUGCUGUCACUUAUAGAUGGAUCCGCGCCGCAUUAGCUAGUUGGUAAGGUAACGGCUUACCAAGGCAACGAUGCGUAGCCGACCUGAGAGGGUGAUCGGCCACACUGGAACUGAGACACGGUCCAGACUCCUACGGGAGGCAGCAGUAGGGAAUCUUCCGCAAUGGGCGAAAGCCUGACGGAGCAACGCCGCGUGAGUGAUGAAGGUCUUCGGAUCGUAAAACUCUGUUAUUAGGGAAGAACAAAUGUGUAAGUAACUAUGCACGUCUUGACGGUACCUAAUCAGAAAGCCACGGCUAACUACGUG
rnacentral:rRNA from 1 species